CAAAGAGGGAGUUAUGGAUAACACUCCUAAGCAUAUGAAAAGAAGCACGAUAAAUGGAUCAAAACCCAAAUUCUUGUUAGAGUCCCAAACCUAUAAUGGCAGCUGUGUAACUCAUGAGUGCUUGAGAAACUUCAGAGAAGAAAAAGAGAAUGGGAUGUUCUGAUAAAAAUUAUUCCCGGCCAAGUGUCUGCAGUUCGAGACACUCAAGUCAAAAAACAAAAAACAAAAAACAAAAACAAAACAAAAAACAAAAACAAAACUAGAAAAAAAGGGGAAAGGAGAAAACUUUCUCAAGGAUGCCAACAAAAACAACAAGAAACAUACACGUAGGUCACAUUCAGGGGCAAACCAUAAGGAAUUUCUCCAUAGGCGUUAUUUCUUUGAGUAAAACAAUAUAUCAAGAAUUAGAGACUUGCAUUCAAAAGAAAGAAAAGGGAACCUUCAAGAAUGCUUAUAUUGAUUUACGAAAAGAUUUUUCACGAACUGUAAGAUUCAAAGAAAAAGAAAUAAAAUUAACCAAAGAAAUAAGAAAAAGAAGAAGAAAAAGAAAUCAAAAACUCUCGUUGGAGCUGCAAUGGGUGGAAGGAGAUGAACAUUCGUUCGGAUUUAUCAAAGAGAAAUAUCGGAAAAAAAGCA
rnacentral:lncRNA from 1 species